CACGCGUGUGUGAUGUUCUCACUGUCCAGGCCUGGAGCUGAAGCUGCAGGGAGAGAGCAUCACUGGUUCCUGCAGGAAGGAAAUGAGAUUCAGUUCUCCGGAGGAGAGCGACUCCCUCUGCAGCCUGGAGACCUUACUGAAAACCCUGUUCAUUUCCUCCAGGUUUAUUUAAACCAUGAAAACUGCACAAAGAUACGCUCCAUGACGUUUGCCUCUUUACCAAAAAGUUAUCCACUUAGUGUCUAG
rnacentral:lncRNA from 1 species